GUAGAGAAUACCAAGGCGCUUGAGAGAACUCGGGUGAAGGAACUAGGCAAAAUGGUGCCGUAACUUCGGGAGAAGGCACGCUGACACGUAGGUGAAGUGAUUUACUCAUGGAGCUGAAGUCAGUCGAAGAUACCAGCUGGCUGCAACUGUUUAUUAAAAACACAGCACUGUGCAAACACGAAAGUGGACGUAUACGGUGUGACGCCUGCCCGGUGCCGGAAGGUUAAUUGAUGGGGUCAGCGCAAGCGAAGCUCCUGAUCGAAGCCCCGGUAAACGGCGGCCGUAACUAUAACGGUCCUAAGGUAGCGAAAUUCCUUGUCGGGUAAGUUCCGACCUGCACGAAUGGCGUAAUGAUGGCCAGGCUGUCUCCACCCGAGACUCAGUGAAAUUGAACUCGCUGUGAAGAUGCAGUGUACCCGCGGCAAGACGGAAAGACCCCGUGAACCUUUACUAUAGCUUGACACUGAACAUUGAGCCUUGAUGUGUAGGAUAGGUGGGAGGCUUUGAAGUGUGGACGCCAGUCUGCAUGGAGCCGACCUUGAAAUACCACCCUUUAAUGUUUGAUGUUCUAACGUGGACCCGUGAUCCGGGUUGCGGACAGUGUCUGGUGGGUAGUUUGACUGGGGCGGUCUCCUCCUAAAGAGUAACGGAGGAGCACGAAGGUUGGCUAAUCCUGGUCGGACAUCAGGAGGUUAGUGCAAUGGCAUAAGCCAGCUUGACUGCGAGCGUGACGGCGCGAGCAGGUGCGAAAGCAGGUCAUAGUGAUCCGGUGGUUCUGAAUGGAAGGGCCAUCGCUCAACGGAUAAAAGGUACUCCGGGGAUAACAGGCUGAUACCGCCCAAGAGUUCAUAUCGACGGCGGUGUUUGGCACCUCGAUGUCGGCUCAUCACAUCCUGGGGCUGAAGUAGGUCCCAAGGGUAUGGCUGUUCGCCAUUUAAAGUGGUACGCGAGCUGGGUUUAGAACGUCGUGAGACAGUUCGGUCCCUAUCUGCCGUGGGCGCUGGAGAACUGAGGGGGGCUGCUCCUAGUACGAGAGGACCGGAGUGGACGCAUCACUGGUGUUCGGGUUGUCAUGCCAAUGGCACUGCCCGGUAGCUAAAUGCGGAAGAGAUAAGUGCUGAAAGCAUCUAAGCACGAAACUUGCCCCGAGAUGAGUUCUCCCUGAGACUUUAGGUCUCCUGAAGGAACGUUGAAGACGACGACGUUGAUAGGCCGGGUGUGUAAGCGCAGCGAUGCGUUGAGCUAACCGGUACUAAUGAACCGUGAGGCUUAACCUU
rnacentral:rRNA from 1 species